UACGUAGGGCGCGAGCGUUGUCCGGAAUUAUUGGGCGUAAAGAGCUCGUAGGCGGCCUGUCGCGUCAAUUGUGAAAGCCCGGGGCUUAACCCCGGGUCUGCAGUCGAUACGGGCAGGCUAGAGUGUGGUAGGGGAGAUCGGAAUUCCUGGUGUAGCGGUGAAAUGCGCAGAUAUCAGGAGGAACACCGGUGGCGAAGGCGGAUCUCUGGGCCAUUACUGACGCUGAGGAGCGUAAGCGUGGGGAGCGAACAGG
rnacentral:rRNA from 1 species